CAGACACCGAUACUGACGUAACUCACUUAUCAAAUAUUAUAUUGACUGUCUGAAAGAUUUUCUGGUUGACUGAUUGUCAAUUUCCCAAGGCACUUGAAAUUAUCUUGAGGCUGAACCCACGUAUAGAAAUCGACCUACAUAUAGUUGAUAAUGCUACUGCUGUACAUUAGAUUUUUUUGUUCAAAACAUUUCUACUAACCACUAACAAAUCAUAGCAAUUAGCUCUCCUACACCUACUUAAACUACAGUUUAAAUACAUUGCUUCGGUGUAACCCAUCAUAAGCACAGUGACGUCCUUUAAUUUCUUCAGUGUAAGUAAUGAUUUAAUGAUUUGAAAUCCUUCAAUUAGAUCCAAGCUGGCUCAAGUUUUUGCAGGUCAGCAGGGUUUCUAGUCCUCAAACUUUUGGUGAAAGUUUGUUUAUGUUAAUCCUGAUUGUUCCUCUUGCAACUGACCAUAACAAUCAGUACAGAUAUAGCUGGUCUGCGAGGAGUGAUUCUGGAUCCUCAGCAGGUCAAAUUUACCACACAAACACAAGACAGCCACUGAUAUAAACCACAAGCUCUGUUUACAAUGUGCGAUAAUGCAAUCUAAUGUUGGCUAAUGCCCAUUGUAGUGAUUUGUCUAUACUAUGCUUUCAUUAUGUACACAGUUUGAAGUUUGCUGGAUUAAAGCUCGUAUAACAUUCAAUAAUGAUUAAUUAAUCUCUCAUGUCACUGUAACAUAUAACUGAGUGUCUUUAGUGGUAGAUUAUAUCCCUACACAUCAAUACACAAAAAACAGAGGAUUAAAAGCAAAGAAGAGAUUUUUUUUAAAAUGAAUAACAACAAAAUGAACAAGAACUUACUUUCAGAAGUCUGGUUUUCUCUCAGCCUCCAAAGAGAAAACAUUGAACUAGCUAUUUGUGUGAAAACCCCACAAGUUUUGAUUGCAGUUUAUCUACCACCUCUGCCUCCACACACUGUUAAUCUGCUCUGCUAUGUGCACUACAGACUCAUUUAAUCCGCUGCUUGCAUACCUCUGGCUCUUUCCAUUUACCAUUUCUCCAUGGCCACACUUGUUUGGUCUGCCUAGCAAGAAAACUGCAUCUGUUAUGAUAUCUACAUAAUGGACUAACAUGGUAAGUUUAAACUUAAAGUUUUGUGUGAUAAUAAUAAUAAUAACAUUUUGUUUCUGCAUUUGUGGAUAAAAAGGUGUUUCUUUUUUAUAUGAUUUAUAUUUAUUCGCCAGUUGGUCAAAAUCAGGCUGCUGUACUAACGCUGUAAUGUGUUUAACACACAAGCAUGAAGUAAGAAAAUAAGAGAGUGAUUUUUUUUGGUUGUUGAGGCCCAAUUGGUAUCACAGAUACAUCUUUAGUUAUACAAACCAAAAGAAUUGUGUGUCUCUUGUUCUGUUUAGUGCUUGAGAAAAAUCUGGUCUAUCUAAAACUGCUGUUUGUGGCUCCUUCCUUAAUGAGCUGCAACAUGACAUCAGAGCAACGUCUAAACAAAUAAAAGGCAUUCAACUAUUAUAGCUCCACUGAAAUGUAAAAUUAGCAUUUUAAAUACUGAUAAACAAAGAUACACAGUCAGUCUGAACGUGUUGCUCUGCUGUAAUGCAAUCUGAAGUGAAGCAUGGCUCCUGAGGAACACGCUAGGGGAAAGCAGGGAGGAGAACAGCCAGACUGUGAUGUGAAAGUCCAUAUAAGGCUGCAGACGAGGAAAUUACCAGAGAGGAACUGAUACGCCUCGUCUACGGCAUCUUCACAUGGCGCCACAAGCUUUACUAAAGGAAACAGAUCACUGCUGUGCAUGACCACAGAAAUCACCAUCCAACAGGUGCAGUGACUGAUUCUCUGAAGAGAUAACGUCACAUAUAGCCUGAUGUAUUUAAGGCUUUGUUCCGUCUCAAUAAAAGGCACAAUUUAACUUCU